GACGAACGCUGGCGGCGUGCCUAAUACAUGCAAGUCGAGCGGAAUGAAGAAGAAGCUUGCUUCUUCUGAUUUUAGCGGCGGACGGGUGAGUAACACGUGGGCAACCUACCUUGUAGAUUGGGAUAACUCCGGGAAACCGGGGCUAAUACCGAAUAAUCCAUUUUGCUUCAUGGCGAGAUGUUAAAAGGCGGCUUCGGCUGUCACUACGGGAUGGGCCCGCGGCGCAUUAGCUAGUUGGUAGGGUAAUGGCCUACCAAGGCGACGAUGCGUAGCCGACCUGAGAGGGUGAUCGGCCACACUGGGACUGAGACACGGCCCAGACUCCUACGGGAGGCAGCAGUAGGGAAUCUUCCACAAUGGACGAAAGUCUGAUGGAGCAACGCCGCGUGAGUGAAGAAGGUUUUCGGAUCGUAAAACUCUGUUGUAAGGGAAGAACACGUACGAGAGUAACUGCUCGUACCUUGACGGUACCUUAUUAGAAAGCCACGGCUAACUACGUG
rnacentral:rRNA from 1 species